CACAAGACGGAAAGACCCCGUGCACCUUUACUAUACCCUAUCAGUGAAUUAUGGGUUGAACUGCGCAGGAUAGGUGGGAGGCUUUGAGAUCGGCUUUUUUGGAGUCGAUGGAGCCAAUGGUGAGAUACCACCCUGUUCAAUCUGUGAUUCUAACCUACUUCCCUGAUCGGGAAGAGGGACACUGGUAGGCGGGUAGUUUGACUGGGGCGGUCGCCUCCUAAAUUGUAACGGAGGCGCUCGAAGCUGCGUUCAGGUGGUUUGGAAAUCCACCGUCGAGUGCAAAGGCAUAAACGCGGUUAACUGCGAGACCUACAAGUCAAGCAGGUGGGAAACCAGGACUUAGUGAUCCGGUGAUUCUGUAUGGAAGGGUCAUCGCUCAACGGAUAAAAGGUACGCCGGGGAUAACAGGCUGAUCGGAGUCAAGAGUUCACAUCGACGCUCCGGUUUGGCACCUCGAUGUCGGUUCAUCGCAUCCCGGGGGUGUA
rnacentral:rRNA from 1 species